AACCCAUGGUGAGGGCACUAUCUUAGUAAGUUUUUAUACCUCUCCCAUGUAUCAUAUAACGUUUCUAAAUCGAUUUGCACAAAGAAAGAGAUGUCAUUCCUUAACUU
rnacentral:snoRNA from 1 species